rnacentral:rRNA from 1 species
UACGGAGGAUGCGAGCGUUAUCCGGAUUUAUUGGGUUUAAAGGGUGCGCAGGCUGUGCAGUAAGUCAGCGGUGAAAGACCACGGCUCAACCGUGGGGCUGCCGUUGAUACUGCUGCGCUGGAGUACGAGCGGCGCCGGCGGAAUGUGUCAUGUAGCGGUGAAAUGCAUAGAGAUGACACAGAACACCGAUCGCGAAGGCAGCUGGCGAGGACGGUACUGACGCUGAGGCACGAAAGCGUGGGGAUCAAAC